UACGUAGGGUGCAAGCGUUGUCCGGAUUUACUGGGUUUAAAGGGUGCGUAGGCGGUCGGAUAAGUUGGUGAUGAAAUGCAGGAGCUCAACUCCUCGCGCUGUUACCAAAACUGUCUGACUUGAGUUUGAGCGAAGCAGCCGGAAUGAGUGGUGUAGCGGUGAAAUGCGUAGAGAUCACUCAGAACACCAAUUGCGAAGGCAGGUUGCCGGCUCACGACUGACGCUGAGGCACGAAAGCGUGGGGAUCAAACAGG
rnacentral:rRNA from 1 species